CACUGGUUCUCGUACGAUCACUGAAGUUAAGCAGCGUCGAACCUGGUCAGUUCCUAGAUGAGUGACUGCUUGGGAAUAUCAGGUGCUGUAAG